UGGCUCAGGAUGAACGCUGGCGGUAUGCUUAACACAUGCAAGUCGAACGGACUCUUAGGAGUUAGUGGCGGACGGGUGAGUAACGCGUGAGAAUCUACCUCAAGGACGGGGACAACAUCAGGAAACUGGUGCUAAUACCCGAUAAGCUGAAAAGUGAAAGAUUUAUUGCCGAGAGAGGAGCUCGCGUCCGAUUAGCUAGUUGGAAGGGUAAAAGCCUACCAAGGCAAUGAUCGGUAGCUGGUCUGAGAGGAUGAGCAGCCACACUGGGACUGAGACACGGCCCAGACUCCUACGGGAGGCAGCAGUGGGGAAUUUUCCGCAAUGGGCGAAAGCCUGACGGAGCAAUACCGCGUGAGGGAAGAAGGCUUUUGGGUUGUAAACCUCUUUUGUCAGGGAAGAAGAAUUGACGGUACCUGAAGAAAAAGCAUCGGCUAACUCCGUGCCAGCAGCCGCGGUAAUACGGAGGAUGCAAGCGUUAUCCGGAAUCAUUGGGCGUAAAGGGUCCGCAGGUGGCGAAUAAAGUCUGCUGUUAAAGACCGGGGCUUAACUCCGGAAAGGCAGUGGAAACUGAUUAGCUAGAGUACGGUAGGGGUAGAGGGAAUUCCCAGUGUAGCGGUGAAAUGCGUAGAUAUUGGGAAGAACACCGGUGGCGAAAGCGCUCUACUAGGCCGAAACUGACACUGAGUAGACGGAAAGCUAGGGUAGCGAAAGGGAUUAGAUACCCCUGUAGUCUUAGCGGUAAACGAUGGAUACUAGGUGUAGCUUGUAUCGACCCAAGCUGUGCCGAAGCUAACGCGAUAAGUAUCCCGCCUGGGGAGUACGCACGCAAGUGUGAAACUCAAAGGAAUUGACGGGGGCCCGCACAAGCGGUGGAGUAUGUGGUUUAAUUCGAUGCAACGCGAAGAACCUUACCAGGGCUUGACAUGUCGCGAAUCUAGCGGAAACGUUAGAGUGCCUUAGGGAAUGCGAACACAGGUGGUGCAUGGCUGUCGUCAGCUCGUGUCGUGAGAUGUUGGGUUAAGUCCCGCAACGAGCGCAACCCUCGUCCUUAGUUGCCAAUAUUAAGUUAGGCACUCUAGGGAGACUGCCGGGGACAACUCGGAGGAAGGUGGGGAUGACGUCAAGUCAGCAUGCCCCUUACGUCCUGGGCUACACACGUACUACAAUGGUUGGGACAAAGGGCAGCAAGCUCGCGAGAGUAAGCGAAUCUCAUCAAACCCAGCCACAGUUCAGAUUGCAGGCUGCAACUCGCCUGCAUGAAGUAGGAAUCGCUAGUAAUCGCAGGUCAGCAUACUGCGGUGAAUUCGUUCCCGGGCCUUGUACACACCGCCCGUCACACCAUGGAAGCUGGCUACGCCCGAAGUCGUUACCCUAACCCGGUUUUGGGAGGGGGAUGCCGAAGGUAGAGCUAGUGACUGGGGUGAAG
rnacentral:rRNA from 1 species